AGAGAAGACAGGCUUAUCCCUACCACUGGGUAAGACACACGGAGGAAAGACAAAAGUCGGCUGUUCAGACAUCUGGCCAGUAAGUGCACAUCUGGACUGACGCCACACCACUGGAAAUACUUAAAAGAUUGCCAACACAACACAAACAACUUUUGUCCCAGACUUCCUUAUCGAGAUCUUUUAAAGUGAGACGCCUUAAGACUGUUUUAUCUAUUAUUAAAUCAAACCCAUGCACAAUGAUGACAAGACAGAAAGUGGAGUCUGGCUUGUGUCACCAGCUGCUCUGAGGACCCCAUUGGGUAACCAGCUCUGCCACAGCACCAUAACCUCUUUCCCAACAGGCCAAAGGGAACUCCAAGCCUUAGCUCUGCCAGUGCCCUCACCGUCCCAAAGAGAGCACACACGAUCCCCAUCCUCAGAUCUUAUCCUUCACAGUAGUGAGAAGACCACACCCAUAAGGCUUAGUCACCCAGUACCACUGGCUUAUGAGACCCAAUUCCCACAACCAUCUUUACCUACCAACCAAUUUCCCCUGUCCUAAAAAAUUCAAUGUAGGGAGGAGGAUGCACCAGGUCCAGGACCCUCCCUAAGGACCUACUGGAGGAGGGAAGUGACAUUUUUUUCCACUGGUGUAGCUACAGCUAACAUGCCUGUUCUCUUUAGUAACCUCUCACACAUGCUCCCUUAAGUAACCAUACUUCAUACCCAGACAUGCGCGCGCGCGCGCACAGAGAGAGAGAGAGAGAGAGAGAGAGAGAGAGAGAGAGAGAGAGAGAGAGAGAGCGCGAGAGCUAGAAGGGGGACUGAAAUAGAAGGAAUCAAACAAAGGUGGGAGGGGCACCUGAGAGGAAUGGGAAGGUGAAUAUGAGCUAAGUGUAUUAUAUACAUAUGUGAAAACAUCAUAGUGAAUCCCACUAUUAUGCAUAAUUGAUAUGCUAAUAAAACAUAAGAAACCUAGAAACAUCGACAGUGGGAGCUUCACUGAGUUCCUCCUACCAGUCUUCCCUCAGGGAAGACUCCAGAAGAGCGUGAUCAACAGUGACUAAGGCAGUCAGGACUUUUGGCUAGUAGGAGCUCAAGGGCAGACUUCUGCCUCACACACCAGUCAAGUUUCUGGCUUUUCCUAAGGUAGCACCCACUGUCCUGUCUGGAGACUGUCUCCAGAGAGCAGAGCCUCUUCGCACGCCCUAUCUCCUUUUUAAAGCACAGGGCAACUCUAUCAACAGGCUGGUAACAAGUGGCCAGAAUAAACAGUCUCGCGACUGACUUCCUGGGGGUGAUAGCAGAGGCACUGAUGCCACCUCUACAGGCCUGGAGAGUAGUCUGACACCUGGACACCUAAUUCAGUCCAGGGACUGACCUACAACCGUGCUCACCUAUGCAAACUUUUCAUUAUGUCUCUUUCAAUCGUUACUAUUCAUGAAUUUGGGGCUGGAGAGAUGGCUCAGCAGCUAAGAGCACGGACUGCUCUUCCAGAGGAAGGUUCAAUUCCCAGCCCCCAUACAGCAGCUAUUAAAGAAUUUGUAUGUGUUGCUAGGAUUCAGAACCUAGCACACGAAGCAGUGCUCCCACCUUAUGGAUGGUUUGGUUUGGUAUGGUUUUGCUAGAGUCACACCAAGCAAGUCCCUUACCGAACUCAUGAAAUCUUUAUUUGUAAGUAAAUAAACUCGUGGUUUUUGUCCAGUUCAACUUGAUUCAAAAGGGUGCUCCUCACCUCACCCUCAGGAUCUGCAGACUGACCCCUUAAAUUUAGGGAAAGAGUAUUCUAACAGGAAAAGCAAAUCUCUUCAUGUAUCACCAGUGACUCGCUCUGCUCCAACAAGUGUGAGCCUAUUUCAUGUGAUCCCUUCAGCCAUAAUGUUUUAAAUGUUCUUCUUUAAAAACAGUCUUUAAUCUUGGAGAAAACCAGGCCCCUUGUAAGCACACUCAUUUCAUAUCAGAUCAACCACUACCCUGACAUGUCUUGUUUUAUGUCAUUUAAUAUUUUUAAAACUUAACCUUCCCCACAAAAUAAUUAACACAGAAAGCUUGGGCCAUGUUUCCUCAUCCACUACCCUCAAAAGCAUAUAAUAAAUUAACUAGUGGUAUCUAGGUCAAUGAAUAAAUUGUUUUGCAUUUGCUUUUAAUGUUUUUAUUUCUAUAAUGCUAACAAAAGGAGACACCUGAUAAAAACACAGAGCAGUACAGUAAUCCAAGACUUCAAAAGCGCAUGCUGGGAGGAUCCAGGGGUACGAUGAAGGACCUCGAGAGAUGGAGCACUGAGGAUGAAGUAAUGAGAGAAGCUCUAGCCUGGCCCCACCUUUAAAACAAACAGCUGCCAGGGAAGCCCCUGGCCCAAAGCCUGGCAUUCAUCCCGACAGACCAUCAGCUCUCUCCUGUCCUUGGUUCCUACUGCCUCCUCCCUAGGACGCUAAUGCCCACUCCCUUAGUCAACUAGCCUUUCCCCUUCCAGCCUGCCUUAGAUCCUGGGGUGCACACUGCAUGUAUGCACACAUGUGUGUGUAGUUGAAGUUAGACAGAAAAUAGCAAAAAAUUAGGGGGCAAGAGAACAAAGUAGAAAAAUGAGAACGAAAGAGAAAGAAAAAUAAGCAGACUCACUGUCAGACCCGUCUAAUGCUGCCAGGCAGUUUCUAACGAGCUGAAGUUUAGUAUCUCAGGUCGAGGCUUAGGUUGGGUCUCUUUCCUUCGCUGCAUUUUUUCCUGUCAGGGUAUUGAUUGUUGUACAGCUCAGGCCGGCUGUAAACUUGUGGUCUUCCUGCCUCUGCCUCCCCAGUGCUGAAAUCACAGGCAUGAGCUCCACACCUCGCAAGAACUUUGGCUUCUUGCUGCUGAUUAUGCUUGGCUGGGUUGCUGUGGACAAGGUGUCUGUAGCCCAGGCAGACCUUAAACUCACGAGGUAGCUGAGGCUACCCUUCAACUCCUGAUCCACUUGCCCCCACCUCCUAAAUGCUCCAAUCAUAUGUUAUGCGAUGUUACCACACGUAGCCCAAAGCUGGUUUUCCAGACAUGCACUCUACCACUGUGCUGCAGCCACAUGCAGGCUGAAGAAGGACUUACAUAUUUGUUUAUGGCUAUUCCAUCUGUGCUUGAUCAAAAGAGCAAAAUCAACUAGCAAGGGCUAGGGAUGUCUGCUAGUUUGAAUGCAAUUGGUCCCAUAAGCUCAUAGGGAGUGGCACUAUUAUAAGGUGUGGCUUUGUUGGAGAAAGUGUGUCACCAUGAGGGCAGGCUUUGAGGGUUCAUGGACACGCUCAAGCCACGCCCAGUGUCUCACCACUUCCCCGUUGCCUGUGAGUCAAGAACUGUCAGCUCCUUCUCCAGCACCUUGUCUUCCUGCAUGCUGCCCUGUUUCCUGCCAUGAUGCCGGAUUAGACCUCUGAACUGAUCCCUUAAAGAUACUGUCACCCCCAGACAGCAGGAAGUAAAUUUGAGAAUACAACACCUAUAUUCCAAAGAGACAUAUCUGCUUCUGGCAGCACCCAUCUACUUCAGAGAAGAUAAUGGGCAUCAAAAAAAACUCCAUGUGAAGUUUACUUUCUUCGUGGCAAAGUUAGUCACCGGGCAAGAAAAUGCCCCUGCCUCAACUGCUGACAGUAUGAGGUCCUAAUUG